rnacentral:rRNA from 1 species
GACGAACGCUGGCGGCGUGCCUAAUACAUGCAAGUUGAGCGAUGAAGAUUGGUGCUUGCACCAAUUUGAAGAGCAGCGAACGGGUGAGUAACGCGUGGGGAAUCUGCCUUUGAGCGGGGGACAACAUUUGGAAACGAAUGCUAAUACCGCAUAACAACUUUAAACAUAAGUUUUAAGUUUGAAAGAUGCAAUUGCAUCACUCAAAGAUGAUCCCGCGUUGUAUUAGCUAGUUGGUGAGGUAAAGGCUCACCAAGGCGAUGAUACAUAGCCGACCUGAGAGGGUGAGCGGCCACAUUGGGACGGAGACACGGCCCAAACUCCUACGGGAGGCAGCAGUAGGGAAUCUUCGGCAAUGGACGAAAGUCUGACCGAGCAACGCCGCGUGAGUGAAGAAGGUUUUCGGAUCGUAAAACUCUGUUGGUAGAGAAGAAAGUUGGUGAGAGUGGAAAGCUCAUCAAGUGACGGUAACUACCCAGAAAGGGACGGCUAACUACGUG